CACGCACGCACACACACACACCCAGAGAGUCUUAUUCUAUUGGCAACAUUUUUCUACAUGGACUGGAUAAGCUGUGUGUGUUUGUGUGUGUGUGUGUGCGUGUGUGUGAUCACGUUUAGAGUGAUCUAGAUGAUAUUUACCUUGGUGCCCCUGCGCAUCAGCCCAGUUCAACCCGUGCGGAUUCUCGUAGCACUUGGCGCGCGGAUUCCUCAAACAUUACAACUUUCCUCAACUGUCAGCUAUCCUGAAACCUGAAAGAGUUCAGUAAUACGUUCCUGCACACUCUGCUACUUCGUUAAAAAUCGUGUUUGCAGGAGCCUGUGGUGGUAGAUGGUGUUUGUGGUGAGCUUGCUUGGCUUCCUCUACAUUCAACACCUUCCACUCCUUCCCUUACAGCAAGUACUUUGGCUGCAUUGUGAACGGAAUAAUCUUGUCUAUUUUUAUUUGUAUUUUUGUUAUACUUGAAGUGUAAAAAUAUAUAUUUUUGCUGUUUGUAUUCUGUUGAAGUUUAAUAAAUGA